rnacentral:rRNA from 1 species
AGGCUCAGAACGAACGCUGGCGGCAGGCUUAACACAUGCAAGUCGAACGCCCCGCAAGGGGAGUGGCAGACGGGUGAGUAACGCGUGGGAAUCUACCGUACCCUACGGAAUAACGCAUGGAAACGUGUGCUAAUACCGUAUACGCCCUACGGGGGAAAGAUUUAUCGGGGUAUGAUGAGCCCGCGUUGGAUUAGCUAGUUGGUGGGGUAAAGGCCUACCAAGGCGACGAUCCAUAGCUGGUCUGAGAGGAUGAUCAGCCACAUUGGGACUGAGACACGGCCCAAACUCCUACGGGAGGCAGCAGUGGGGAAUAUUGGACAAUGGGCGCAAGCCUGAUCCAGCCAUGCCGCGUGAGUGAUGAAGGUCUUAGGAUUGUAAAGCUCUUUCACCGAUGAAGAUAAAUGACGGAAGUCGGAGAAAA